GGUGAACGCUGGCGGCGUGCUUGACACAUGCAAGUCGAACGGUAUGUGGCAACACAUAGAGUGGCGAACGGGUGAGUAACACGUGGGAACGUAUCUUUUGCAGGGGGAUAACUGACCGAAAGGACAGCUAAUACCGCAUAAGUCCGGGAGGAGAAAGGUGCAACAGCAUCGGCAGAAGAGCGGCCCGCGGUCCAUCAGCUAGUUGGUGAGGUAAGGGCUUACCAAGGCGACGACGGAUAGCCGGCGUGAGAGCGUGGCCGGCCACAAGGACACUGAGAUACGGGUCCUACUCCUACGGGAGGCAGCAGUGCGGAAUUUUAGAUAAUGGAGGGAACUCUGAUCUAGCGACGCCGCGUGCAGGAAGAAGGUCUUCGGAUUGUAAACUGCUGUGGUAAGGGAAAAUGCUAUGUAGAGUGGAAAGCUACAUAGAGGGAUGGUACCUUACUAGAAAGCCCCGGCUAACUACGUGCCAGCAGCCGCGGUAAAACGUAG
rnacentral:rRNA from 1 species